GACAUGUUUGCUUCCCUUUCCACCAUAUUGAGAGAAGACUGUUCUCUGGUCAAGUUUGUGCUUCUGGGAACAUCUCAUCAAACGUCCUGCCAGCGGGCUUAGUACUGGAAUUUGAAUAUGGGCUUCUCUUUUCAUCAACCAGCUGUGUUGCUGUCAGCUUUUAUCUCGGGCUGGACACUUUGGAGUGUUUAACUGAAAGUGAUGAAAGUAUAGCUCAAUACGAGUCAGAGUCAAGAACUUCCUGGAAGCAUAAUUUAGGAUCUAAAUAGAAGAACAUAAUGGAGAGAAGGGCAGUGUUUGUCCUAUUCCAAAAAGAGAGACAGGAAAAUAAAAUCAAGCCCUGUCGUUUCAAUCAUGGCACCAGGGGAGCCAGAAGAGCAGAAGAGGUGACAGCUGACCAGAAAGAGACUGGCUCUGCAGCCUGGGCAACCUGUCAUGGAAAGGUACUGCAGCUGCAGGCCUCAGAGCUGUCCAGAAUUACUCUCAUGAACAUGUUUGGGAAAGAAGUUAUGAAGUAGAGGCAAGAGUGUGUUACAGGUAGGAGUCUUUUUAGGGGAGCAAUAGGAUUGUCCUCUUCUUAGAAAUAGAUUUUUUUGGCCAUGAUCCCUUCUUUCUCCUACCAGAACUGCUUAAUCCCAUUGCCUGAGCCUUCCAGCCUGGAGAUUAUCCAUCAUGUGACUAAGAAUGAGAUGACACCUGUACAGAUACACGAUUUGCCUCUCAGCUGUUUAGCUGUUUCUAUAAGAAGCCUGAGCCGUUAAGGUACUCUCAGGGCAGGAAUGACCUAGAAGAGAUGGAAUAUAAGCUCAAGACAAUAAGAUGGGGGCCUGGUCAAACACCCUUCCUUAUGUGAACUAGGAAUCUUGGUUAUAGCCCAUGUUUUUCCUUCUUCUCCAAACCCAGGUGAUGAUUUUGGUUUAAGAGCCUCAUCUAUGAGAAAUUCCAUAUCAAAAUUAUUGCAGGGAGAAUAGACCUCUUCCAUUAUCUAGAACAAAAGUUAGUAUUUUCCCCUAUGUCUUCUCUUUUCUUUCUUCUGUACUUCCUAUUACUUUUGGUGCUGUAGAAAAAUUUCUCUGUCCAAAAAGACGUGAAAUAUUUCAGACAUAUUUUACCAAGGGUGUGUGUAGCACACAUCAACUUGCUUGAGCUUCUCUGAUAUAUAGCCAAUGUUUUAAUGUUCCCAUUUAGCCAAUCCAUAAUACAUCUUCACAGUGUUGGCCUAAUCACAAAUGACAAGGGUGGAAAAUGUAAUAAAGACAGGGGCACAUUAAUCUACUUUGUAUGAAAAUGUGGAAAGGUAAUCCAAUUUUGAACUGCUUGCUCUUACAAAAUAUACAUAAGUUUGUAUGAUUUCUGCAUCUUAGUUGGGGAGAUGGUAGUCAAUCCUAAAGAGUUAUAUUUCAGGUAAAGAGUCCUCAGUCCCUUACAUGUAUGCACAGAGGUAGUGGCCCAUACUGAGAAAUAAAGAUGGGGACUCUGGGGAAUGAGUUGCCUGAUGGUCUAUUGGAAGCCUCUAUAUCUGGCAAUAUUCAGGGGUGUUCAUUCCUGUAGGUCUUAGAGAGAGAUUCCAAUAUUAGGGAUGCUGUUGUGUCUUCCCCUGCAUAGCCCCUAAGGCUAGUUCAUAUGAAAAGUAAAUCUGACUCUGCUCCCUAAAAACAAAGAUGAAAAAUCCAUAGAAGGGAGGUAGAUUCAGCUAGAAAGUGUAUUUCUAGCAGGGGAGUUGGUGUGAGGGAGAGAAUAGUUAUGAUGAAGUCAGGCUUGUCUUAAACCACAUCUGAUGUCAUUCCAAUCACUGUGUGUGUCUGCACUUGUGGGUUGUCUGCAUGGCAUGCAUGAAUGUUGAUGCAUCUGCAGUGCUCUCACCCAGCAGAGAAGCAUAGAGAAAUGUGAGCUCUGGACUUAAAGAGCGCUGAGUGUUAAUCUCACUUUCUAUUUGCUCUGCGACAUGACUAGCAGUCCAACUCCUCUGAAUCCCAGUUUCUUUUUCAGUGAAACAGAGAUUGUACUAGUUAUCUCUUAGGAUUAGUAGAAAUACAGGACCCAGAAAUUCUAUUCUUAGAUAUCUACCCAAGAUAAAUACAAACAAAACAUAGGCAAAUGUGUACAAAAACUUGUACAUGGAUGUUCAUAGCAACAUUAUUCACUAUAGAUAAAAGGUGGAAACAACCCAAAUGUCUAUCAACUGACAAAUGCAUAAACAAAAUGUGGCUUAUUAUUGAAAUAAACAAUGGAAAAUUAUUCAGCCAU
rnacentral:lncRNA from 1 species